rnacentral:rRNA from 1 species
AGUGAACGCUGGCGGUAGGCCUAACACAUGCAAGUCGAACGGCAGCACAGUAAGAGUUUGCUCUUACGGGUGGCGAGUGGCGGACGGGUGAGGAAUACAUCGGCAUCUACUUUUUCGUGGGGGAUAACGUAGGGAAACUUACGCUAAUACCGCAUACGACCUACGGGUGAAAGCAGGGGAUCUUCGGACCUUGCGCGUUUGAAUGAGCCGAUGUCGGAUUAGCUAGUUGGCGGGGUAAAGGCCCACCAAGGCGACGAUCCGUAGCUGGUCUGAGAGGAUGAUCAGCCACACUGGAACUGAGACACGGUCCAGACUCCUACGGGAGGCAGCAGUGGGGAAUAUUGGACAAUGGGCGCAAGCCUGAUCCAGCCAUACCGCGUGGGUGAAGAAGGCCUUCGGGUUGUAAAACCCUUUUGUUGGGAAAGAAAAGCAGCAGGUUAAUACCCCGCUGUUCUGACGGUACCCAAAGAAUAAGCACCGGCUAACUUCGUG